rnacentral:rRNA from 1 species
UACGCAGGGUGCGAGCGUUAAUCGGAAUUACUGGGCGUAAGGCGUGCGCAGGCGAUUUUGUAAGUCAGAUGUGAAAUCCCCGAGCUCAACUUGGGAACUGCGUUUGAAACUACAAGACUAGAAUAUGUCAGAGGGGGGUAGAAUUCCACGUGUAGCAGUGAAAUGCGUAGAGAUGUGGAGGAAUACCAAUGGCGAAGGCAGCCCCCUGGCCUAAUACUGACGCUCAUGCACGAAAGCGUGGGGAGCAAACAGGAUUAGAAACCCCUGUAGUCC